rnacentral:rRNA from 2 species
CUCAGGACGAACGCUGGCGGCGUGCCUAAUACAUGCAAGUCGAACGAGCUCUCCCAAAUUGAUUUUAUGCUUGCAUAAAUGAUUUUUGGAUUCGGAGCGAGUGGCGAACUGGUGAGUAACACGUGGGUAACCUGCCCCGAAGCGGGGGAUAACAUUUGGAAACAAGUGCUAAUACCGCAUAAUUAGUUGGAACCGCAUGGUUCCAACUUGAAAGAUGGCUCUGCUAUCACUUUGGGAUGGACCCGCGCCGUAUUAGUUAGUUGGUGAGAUAAAAGCCCACCAAGACGAUGAUACGUAGCCGACCUGAGAGGGUAAUCGGCCACAUUGGGACUGAGACACGGCCCAGACUCCUACGGGAGGCAGCAGUAGGGAAUCUUCCACAAUGGACGAAAGUCUGAUGGAGCAACGCCGCGUGAGUGAUGAAGGUUUUCGGAUCGUAAAACUCUGUUGUUAAAGAAGAACAAGUGUUAGAGUAACUGUUAACACUUGACGGUAUUAACCAGAAAGCCACGGC